rnacentral:antisense_RNA from 1 species
GGUAUUCCCACAGGGCAAAUACAUCCACAUUCGGCUGACUCACCACCCGCACCUGUUCGAGGGUGGCAUCGUACAAACCACCAAACCACAUCGCCUUGGCGACUAAAAGUAAGGCACCCAAACCCAACAUCAACAGGUGAUGCCCCAAAAUCAGCCCCAACUUGGCUUCAUCAUCCCA